rnacentral:rRNA from 1 species
CCUACGGGUGGCACCAGUGGGGAAUAUUGCACAAUGGGCGCAAGCCUGAUGCAGCCAUGCCGCGUGUAUGAAGAAGGCCUUCGGGUUGUAAAGUACUUUCAGCGGGGAGGAAGGUGUUGUGGUUAAUAACCACGGCAAUUGACGUUACCCGCAGAAGAAGCACCGGCUAACUCCGUGCCAGCAGCCGCGGUAAUACGGAGGGUGCAAGCGUUAAUCGGAAUUACUGGGCGUAAAGCGCACGCAGGCGGUCUGUCAAGUCGGGUGUGAGAUCCCCGGGCUCAACCUGGGAACUGCAUUCGAAACUGGCAGGCUAGAGUCUUGUAGAGGGGGGUAGAAUUCCAUGUGUAGCGGUGAAAUGCGUAGAGAUGUGGAGGAAUACCGGUGGCGAAGGCGGCCCCCUGGACAAAGACUGACGCUCAGGCGCGAAAGCGUGGGGAGCAAACAGGAUUAGAUACCCCAGUAGUC